rnacentral:misc_RNA from 1 species
GAUGAAGAACGUAGCGAAAUGCGAUAAGUAAUGUGAAUUGCAGAAUUCAGUGAAUCAUCGAAUCUUUGAACGCACAUUGCGCCCGCCAGUAUUCUGGCGGCAUGCCUGUUCGAGCGUCAUUACAACCCUCAGGCCCCCGGGCCUGGCGUUGGGGAUCGGCGGAGCCCCCCGUGGGCACACGCCGUCCCCCAAAUGCAGUGGCGGUCCCGCCGCAGCUUCCAUCGCGUAGUAGCUAACACCUCGCGACUGGAGAGCGGCGCGGCCACGCCGUAAAACACCCAACUCUUCUGAAGUUGACCUCGAAUCAGGUAGGAAUACCCGCUGAACUUAAGCAUAUCAAUAAGCGGAGGA